AGCUCUGAGGUGUAAACAUAUUUGGUUGCAAACCAUAAGUAGUAGAUUAACGUCUGCCGGGGCUU
rnacentral:tRNA from 1 species